rnacentral:rRNA from 1 species
UACGUAGGGUGCAAGCGUUAAUCGGAAUGACUGGGCGUAAAGGGUGUGUAGGCGGUCUGUUAAGUCGGAUGUGAAAUCCCCGGGCUCAACCUGGGAACUGCAUUGGAAACUGGCAGGCUAGAGUACGUAAGAGGGGGGUGGAAUUCCACGUGUAGCAGUGAAAUGCGUAGAGAUGUGGAGGAACACCGAUGGCGAAGGCAACCCCCUGGGACGAUACUGACGCUGAGGCACGAAAGCGUGGGGAGCAAACAGG